AUGGGUGUUGGGUCCAACAAUUCGCAUUGGUCUCAAACCAAUGACAUCCAUUUGGAAGACCAUGAGUUUGAGGUGGACGAGGAGGGUGAGGGCAUUGUCGACGCACCAAAAGGAAGAGCGGGCAAUUACAGCACCAACGAUGACAAGUUACUAUGCAAUACUUAUUUGCAAGUGUCGAGGGAUCCAUCCAUUGGAGGUGAUCAAAGUAGAGAAAAGAGCCAUGAUCUGCACAAUGGGUGGCGGUGGCCUUGGCGGCAUGGGUGGCGGGCGGCGCCAUGGGAGGCAUGGGUGGCUUGGGAGCCAUGGGAGGCAUGGGUGCACCUCCGGCCGCCAUGGGAGGCAUGGGUGGCUUGGGCACCAUGGGAGGCAUGGGUGCACCUCCGGCUGCCAUGGGAGGCAUGGGUGGCUUUGGAGCACCCUCUGACGCUAUGGCCGCCAUGGGAGGCAUUAGUUUCACUACUCUUAUGGGAGGCAUGGGUGCACCUCGGCCAUGGGUGGAAUGUCUUUCAAUGUGCCUCCUCACACACAUUCCCAUGA
rnacentral:rRNA from 1 species